CGGAGGGGACCCCUCUGCCCAGGAAGCCGCAGGUCCCGGGGGCCCAGAGGGAGCAGACCAUGGAGUCAUCGUCACACAGUGAGAGGAGCACAGGGGCUGGCCAUGGGCCCAGGGGCCACAAGAGAAAGCUGCACGAGGAGGAUGCGGCCAGUGAGUCUAGCAAGGAAUCCAGCAACGAGGACGGGGAGGGCAGCAGCUCCGAGGCAGACGAGAUGGCAGCCGCGCUGGAGGCCGAGCUCAGCGGCUUUAUGUGACCCAGCUGCGCCGCAGGUCCUGGAAAGACCUGAGUACUUUGCAGAGCUCCACAUACAGAAACACAUUAUUUUGCAGAAAUAGGUGUUUUUAAGAAGUUUUACUACAAGAAAGUCUACUUUUUUAAGUGACAGAGUGUUAAAGGGGUCUUUGGGCUGGUUGUGGUUUGUUCUCAUGGGGGGAGGGGGGACAGGGUUUUUCCCUUUAAGUACCUAGCAUAUUGUUCAGGGUGAGGACUGUGGGGAUCCGACAGGACGUAGAGAUCAGGCAGAGAGCCUGGAGGUCUUGUCAUGCUGUGUCACAGCUGAGGCCAUCAGAGCCUUAAAGGAUUUUUAAAUGGAGCAGAACAGUGCAUGUGCUGAGAGCACAGCGACCAGCAGAGACCACUGGCCCCCGCUGGGCCCAUCAUGACCUGCAGGUUCCGCUCCUCCCACCAUGGGCGGCUCGACGUGAAGGGCGUCGCUUUUCUUGGUGGCCUUUACUUCUUUGAGAGAUCUGAUGUAAAUUUUUUGUAUAUCUGUUUCAUAUUUGACCCACCAAACAGAUUUUUCUUUCAUUUAAUAAAAGUCCUUUUGUAAGCUCUCU